UACCGAAUGCAAUUGGAGGGCAAGUCUGGUGCCAGCAGCCGCGGUAAUUCCAGCUCCAAUAGCGUAUAUUAAAGUUGUUGCAGUUAAAAAGCUCGUAGUUGAAAUUCUGGGCGUCCGGGUCUCCAGUCUUUAGGCGGGGAUGCCGGCGUUCAUCCGCUUGCAAGCAUACGUUCGCCCUUAACCAGGCGGCUAUGUGAGUAAGCAUUUUACCUUGAGAAAAACAGAGUGUUCCAGGCAGGUUUGUCCGGGAUGCAUUAGCAUGGAAUAAUAGAACAUGACUGAAGUCAAGUUAUUGGUUGUAGACUUUAGUAAUGAUUAAUAGGAACAGUCGGGGGCAUUCGUACUCAGCAGUCAGAGGUGAAAUUCUAAGAUUUGCUGAAGACGAACUAAUGCGAAAGCAUUUGCCAAGGAUGUUUUCAUUAAUCAAGAACGAAAGUUAGGGGAUCAAAGACGAUCAGAUACCGUCCUAGUCUUAACUAUAAACGAUACCGACUCGGAUUCAGAUGAAUCAAAAUGUUCAUUUGGGACCGUAGGAGAAAUCAAAGUCUUUGGGUUCUGGGGGAGUAUGGUCGCAAGGCUGAAACUUAAAGGAAUUGACGGUUUUGCACCACCAUGGAGUGGAGUUUGCGGCUUAAUUUGACUCAACACUGGGAAACUCAUCAGGGCAAGAAGAUUUUAGGAUUGACAGAUUGAGAGUUCUUUCUUGAUUGGUCUAGUGGUGGUGCAUGGCCGUUCUUAGUUGGUGGAGUGAUUUGUCUGGUUAAUUCCGUUAACGAACGAGACCUUAACCUACUAACUAGUGACGAGAUCUCAAAUCUCGAGCACUUCUUAGAGGGACUAUGCGUGGUAAUCGCAUGGAAGUUUGAGGCAAUAACAGGUCUGUGAUGCCCUUAGAUGUCCUGAGCUGCACGCGUACUACAAUGGCACUUUCAGCGAGUUUUUCCUGAUCCGAAAGGAUUUGGGUAAUCUGUUUAGGGAGUGCCGUGCUUGGGAUAGAUCUUUGUAAUUGUGGAUCUUGAACUAGGAAUUCCUAGUAAGCACGAUUCAUCAAAUCGUGCUGAUUACGUCCCUGCAAAAUGUACACACCGCCCGUCGCUUUUACCGAUGAGUGUUCAGGUGAGUCUUCUUGAUAGCUUCACAGCUAAAAAUUAAACAAAUCUU
rnacentral:rRNA from 1 species